GGAAUCUUCGGCAAUGGGGGCAACCCUGACCGAGCAACGCCGCGUGAGUGAAGAAGGUCUUCGGAUCGUAAAACUCUGUUGUUAGAGAAGAACACGAGUGAGAGUAACUGUUCAUUCGAUGACGGUAUCUAACCAGCAAGUCACGGCUAACUACGUGCCAG
rnacentral:rRNA from 1 species